AUCUGAGCGUCUUAUUUUAAUAAGUCAAAACUUUCAACAACGGAUCUCUUGGUUCUGGCAUCGAUGAAGAACGCAGCGAAAUGCGAUAAGUAAUGUGAAUUGCAGAAUUCAGUGAAUCAUCGAAUCUUUGAACGCACAUUGCGCCCAUUAGUAUUCUAGUGGGCAUGCCUGUUCGAGCGUCAUUUCAACCCUUAAG
rnacentral:rRNA from 1 species